GACGAACGCUGGCGGCGUGCUUAACACAUGCAAGUCGAACGGAAAGGCGCGGCGUUUGUGGGGUGCACGAUUGGCGAACGGGGGAGUAACGCGUGAGUAACCUGCCCUUGACUUUGGGAUAACUUCAGGAAACAGGGGCUAAUACCGGAUAUGAGCUCCUGCUGCACGGGGGGGGUUGGAAAGAUUCGGCGGUUGGGGCUGGACUCGCGGCUUAUCAGCUUGUUGGUGGGGUAGGUGCUUCCCAGGGCUUUGACGGGUAGCCGGCAUUGGAGGGUGAACGGGCACCUUGGUCCUGCGAUACGCCGCAGUCUCCUACCGUCCGCAGUGGUGGGGAGCCUGGCGGAAUGGCCGGACGCCUGUUAUGGAGAUCCUGCGUGCGUGAUGCCGUGUUUCGAGUUGUAAACCGAUUUGGACGUUGCUGUGGCGUGAUUGACGGUACUUGGUCAGAAAGCCCCGGCUAACUACGUG
rnacentral:rRNA from 1 species